rnacentral:lncRNA from 1 species
UGAGCAGCUUUGCUUUUUCCCUUAAAAUUCCACCAUUGCUUACACUAACUGCGCCUCCUUCUACUAAGCUUCUGAUAAACACCAAUUUCUCACCUUUUUUCUUCAAUACCUGUAAGCUUCUUAUCUCACUUUCUUGAAAUUAUUUGUUUAUUUAUUUAUAUAUUUUUCUUUUUGGUUGAUGAAAAAGGGGAUAAUGUUACUGUUAAUUGUUAAAGAUUGAUGCUUUUAGCUAUUUGGGAGGUGGGUUUUUCUUGAAUUGAGUGGUUAGUAAUUGAGAUAAAAGUAUGAAUGCAAUUUACUUGUAGUUAGUAAGCUUGUAAUCUCAUUUUGUAUUUUGGUUGAAGAAAAGGGGAAUAAUGUUAUUGUGAUUGUUAAUAUGAAAAAUUGAUGCUUUUAUCUAUAUGGUAGGUGGGUUUUUGUUUUUCUAGAGUUGAGUAGUUGGUAAUUGUGAUAAAGUAUUAAUGCAAUUUAGUUGUAGUUACUGAGCUUCUAUUUCAUUUUCUUGAUGGGUUUUUUUGUUGGUGUUGUAUCUUUGGGGAUAAUAUUAUUGAUAUUGUUGAACAUUGUUAAUGAACAUUGAUGGUUUUAGCUAUUGAUGGGUGGGUUUUUCUUGAGUUUAGUAGUUAGUGUUUCUUUUAUGGGACAAUGUUAUU